rnacentral:rRNA from 1 species
CAAGUCAUUGGGUGACAAAACCCAAAGGCGAAAUGAAAGUGAAGGGAACUUCAGUUUCUGAGGGAAGAUGGGUACGGCCCCUUAAAAGGGUCGCCUCGCACUCCCGGGGCGUCUCUAUCUCAUUGCGAGAAGAGGCGCACCUAGAGCGUACACGCUGAUACCCGAAAGAUGGUGAACUAUGCCUGGCCAGGACGAAGCCAGGGGAAACCCUGGUGGAGGUCCGCAGCGAUUCUGACGUGCAAAUCGAUCGUCGGAGCUGGGUUUAGGGGCGAAAGACCAAUCGAACCAUCUAGUAGCUGGUUCCCUCUGAAGUUUCCCUCAGGAUAGCUUGCGCUCGGAUUUGACGAGUCUCAUCCGGUAGAGCGAAUGAUUAGAGGCCUUGGGGUCGAAACGACCUCAACCUAUUCUCAAACUCCAAAUAGAUGAGAACCCCGGCUUUCUUAAACUUUUGUUUUGAAGCCGGGGGCUCGGAUCAGAGUGCCAAGUGGGCCAAUUUUGGUAAGCAGAACUG